CCUACGGGAGGCAGCAGUGGGGAAUAUUGGGCAAUGGGCGCAAGCCUGACCCAGCAACGCCGCGUGAAGGAAGAAGGCUUUCGGGUUGUAAACUUCUUUUGUCAGGGACGAAGAAAGUGACGGUACCGGACGAAUAAGCCACGGCUAACUACGGGCCAGCAGCCGCGGGAAUACGGAGGUGGCAAGCGUUAUCCGGAUUUACGGGGGGUAAAGGGCGUGUAGGCGGGGACGCAAGUCAGAUGUGAAAACCACGGGCUCAACCGGUGGCCUGCAUUUGAAACUGUUUUUCUUGAGUACUGGAGAGGCAGACGGAAUUCCUAGUGUAGCGGUGAAAUGCGUAGAUAUUAGGAGGAACACCAGUGGCGAAGGCGGUCUGCUGGACAGCAACUGACGCUGAGGCGCGAACGCGUGGGGAGCAAACAGGAUUAGAUACCCUUGUAGUC
rnacentral:rRNA from 1 species